rnacentral:rRNA from 1 species
GACGAAGGGGGCUAGCGUUGUUCGGAAUUACUGGGCGUAAAGCGCACGUAGGCGGGUCGUUAAGUCAGGGGUGAAAUCCCAGAGCUCAACUCUGGAACUGCCUUUGAUACUGUCGACCUAGAGUUCGGAAGAGGUUAGUGGAAUUCCCAGUGUAGAGGUGAAAUUCGUAGAUAUUGGGAAGAACACCAGUGGCGAAGGCGGCUAACUGGUCCGAUACUGACGCUGAGGUGCGAAAGCGUGGGGAGCAAACAGG